rnacentral:rRNA from 1 species
AUACGUAGGGUGCAAGCGUUAAUCGGAAUUACUGGGCGUAAAGCGUGCGCAGGCGGUUUUGUAAGACAGAGGUGAAAUCCCCGGGCUCCACCUGGGAACUGCCUUUGCGACUGCAAGGCUCGAGUACGGCAGAGGGGGAUGGAAUUCCCCGUGUAGAAGUGGAAUGCGUAGAUAUGCGGAGGAACACCGAUGGCGAAGGCAAUCCCCUGGGCCUGUACUGACGCUCAUGCACGAAAGCGUGGGGAGCAAACAGGAUUAGAUACCCUGGUAGUCCACGCCCUAAACGAUGUCAACUGGUUGUUGGGUCUUCAUUGACUCAGUAACGAAGCUAACGCGUGAAGUUGACCGCCUGGGGAGUACGGCCGCAAGGUUGAAACUCAAAUGAAUUGGCGGGG